CACCAGCCCCUCGAGUGGUGGGGAUGAUUAUUGGGCUUAAAGCGUCCGUAGCUGGCUUAGCAAGUCUCCUGUUAAAUUCAGCGACCUAAUCGUUGAGCCGCGGGAGAUACUAUUAGGCUAGGAGGCGGGAGAGGUCGACGGUACUUUCGGGGUAGGGGUGAAAUCCUAUAAUCCCGGGAGGACCACCAGUGGCGAAGGCUGUCGACUAGAGCGCGCUCGACGGUGAGGGAUGAAAGCUGGGGGAGCGAACCGGAUUAGAUACCCGGGUAGUCCCAGCUGUAAACUAUGCGGGCUAGGUGUUGGGGUGGCUACGGGCCACUUCAGUGCCGCAGGAAAGCCAUUAAGCCCGCCGCCUGGGGAGUACGGCCGCAAGGCUGAAACUUAAAGGAAUUGGCGGGGAGCACCACAAGGCGUGAAGCUUGCGUUC
rnacentral:rRNA from 1 species